AGUCGAGCGAUGAAGUUUCUUCGGAAAUGGAUUAGCGGCGAACGGGUGAGGAACACGUGAAGAAUCUGCCCUCCACUUUGGGAUAACACCGGGAAACCGGUGCUAAUACCGAAUAUUGAAACAUAAGUGGCAUCACUGAGUUUUGAAAGAAUUUCGGUGGAGGAUGACUUCGCGGCCUAUCAGCUAGUUGGUGAGGUAAUGGCUCACCAAGGCAACGACGGGUAGCCGGCCUGAGAGGGCGACCGGCCACACUGGGACUGAGACACGGCCCAGACUCCUACGGGAGGCAGCAGUGGGGAAUAUUGGGCAAUGGAGGAAACUCUGACCCAGCGACGCCGCGUGCGGGAUGAAGGCCUUCGGGUUGUAAACCGCUUUCAGUAGGGAAGAAGCGAAAGUGACGGUACCUACAAAAGAAGCACCGGCUAACUAUGUGCCAGCAGCCGCGGUAAUACAUAGGGUGCAAGCGUUGUCCGGAAUUAUUGGGCGUAAAGAGCUCGUAGGUCGUUUGUUACGUCGGAUGUGAAAACCUGAGGCUCAACCUCAGGCCUGCAUUCGAUACGGGCAAACUAGAGUUUGGUAGGGGAGACUGGAAUUCCUGGUGUAGCGGUGGAAUGCGCAGAUAUCAGGAGGAACACCAAUGGCGAAGGCAGGUCUCUGGGCCAAUACUGACACUGAGGAGCGAAAGUCUGGGGAGCGAACAGGAUUAGAUACCCUGGUAGUCCAGACCGUAAACGGUGGGCACUAGUUGUGGGAACCUUCCACGGUUUCUGCGACGCAGCUAACGCAUUAAGUGCCCCGCCUGGGGAGUACGAUCGCAAGAUUAAAACUCA
rnacentral:rRNA from 1 species